rnacentral:rRNA from 1 species
UAGGUAGUAGGCGGGGUAACGGCCCACCUAGCCGACGAUGGAUAGGGGUUCUGAGAGGAAGGUCCCCCACAUUGGAACUGAGACACGGUCCAAACUCCUACGGGAGGCAGCAGUGAGGAAUAUUGGUCAAUGGACGAGAGUCUGAACCAGCCAAGUAGCGUGAAGGAUGAAGGUCCUACGGAUUGUAAACUUCUUUUAUAAGGGAAUAAAACCUCCCACGUGUGGGAACUUGUAUGUACCUUAUGAAUAAGCAUCGGCUAACUCCGUGCCAGCAGCCGCGGUAAUACGGAGGAUGCGAGCGUUAUCCGGAUUUAUUGGGUUUAAAGGGAGCGCAGACGGGUCGUUAAGUCAGCUGUGAAAGUUUGGGGCUCAACCUUAAAAUUGCAGUUGAUACUGGCGUCCUUGAGUGCGGUUGAGGUGUGCGGAAUUCGUGGUGUAGCGGUGAAAUGCUUAGAUAUCACGAAGAACUCCGAUUGCGAAGGCAGCACACUAAGCCGUAACUGACGUUCAUGCUCGAAAGUGUGGGUAUCAAACAGGAUUAGAUACCCUGGUAGUCCACACGGUAAACGAUGGAUACUCGCUGUUGGCGAUAUACAGUCAGCGGCUUAGCGAAAGCGUUAAGUAUCCCACCUGGGGAGUACGCCGGCAACGGUGAAACUCAA